rnacentral:lncRNA from 1 species
GGAGCCGGCAGUGGCAAGCCGCUCGUGUCCCUUUCCACCCUGAAAAUUUUGUUUUUUUGUUCUUUGCAAUAAGUCAUGCUGCUGCUCCCUAGGUUCACCCUGCCUUUGUGAGCUGUAACACUCACCGUGAAAGUCUGCAGCUUGACUCUUGAGCCAGUAAGACCAGGAGCCCACCAGAAGGAGGAAACUCCGAACACAUCUGAAUAUCAGAAGGAACAGAACACAUCUGAAUAUCAGAAGGAACAAACUCCGGACACGCUACCUUUAAAAACUGUAAUACUCACCGCGAGGGUCUGCGGUUUCAUUCAUGAAGUCAGUGAGACAAAGAACUCACCAAUUCCGGACACAGUGGGAGCAAAGGCAUGGCAGGAGGAGAGAACUGCGUGUGUGAGGAAUAAAAACAACAUGUUGCAAUUGAGGAAGGCGUGAAUUUAUGGGGAGAAUACAGAGAUGAAGACUUAAAACGAAUGGAAGGCCAAGGAGAUGAAAUGGAAGACUUUGGACAGAACUUCUGGGAAAGCUCUUUAAAGCAGUCUACUAGACUGGCAAGCAGACAUUCAUUCUCCUCUUCUGACUUAGACAUGGUAUUUUUAGCUCCAGCAGCCGUCCUGUGAAGAUGGGAGCACACGCUAAGGGCAGCAGAAAAGAAAGCCAGAAGGAGGUUGGAUAUUGAUAACCACCGUGGUGCCAUCUUACCAGCCCUCGGCCACCUACCCCAGCCUUCCGGUUAUGAGAAAGAAAAACAAAAUUAGCUUAAGCUACUAUUAUGUAGAGGUCUCAAUUCCUAAGAGUUUAAUGCAUUUCCUUAAACACAUAUGCAUGUUGCAGAAUGCCCAGCUGGAAAUUAAACUUUUUAAAAAUUUAUUAAUUUAUUUAGAGAAGGGGAAUCUCACUAUGUUGCCCAGGCUGGCCUCAAACUCCUGGGCUCAAGUGAACCUCCUGCCUCAGCCUCCCGAGUAACUGGGACUACAGGCAUGUACCACCAUGCACGGCUGAAAUUAAACUUUGUGGGUGUUUUUCAGGUCUGGAAAAGGGGUACCAGAAAGUCAACUUGGCUUUUUCACCUGCCUAGUCCAAUCUCUUGAGCCAUCAAAAUAUCUCUCUCCAUCUUCAGUGCUGCUUAAGGUUUCUGGAGACUUACCUGGGUAGCCAAGGCUGGGAGAGUGAGGAAUAGCUCUAUUAUCUGGUAAGGAGAUUUGUAAUCAGCCCCUUCAUGUUUUCAGAAAUCCAGACAGAGCCCUAGAGAGAGACUGGGGAAGGGAAUGCAGUUGGGGCUCUAGAUUCAUGUAUUUGUAGGGAGAUUUCUAAAUAUUGUGUGUCUACUGUAUGCCAGGCAGUGUCUAGGCACUGGGGUGCAGCAAUGAAUGAAAGAUAAGAUCCCUGCCCUCAUGGAGUUUGCACUCUACUGGGGCCUGUGGAAGGAAGCUGAGCUGUGUUACAGAAUCACCCCAGUUGAGGUGACUGUGCAGGUGAAUAUGGAGACAAAAUCUACUCUCUGACCUCAGCCAGUGAGGGUGCUACAGCCUGCCAUAGAGCCCUGCACUCUUUCAGAGAGGGUUUCUCUCCCAGGCCAGCUGUCACUCUAAUCUGCCCUCCCCACUGUGAUCCCAGCUGGACACAUGGCUCACUGGUUUUUCUGUUACUUUGUAAGUGCAGAUAAGAACUCUAUUCCUCACACUUUGGGGACAGAACAGAGUAAGCUGGGGUACACUGAGCUUGGAGAAGGGGAAGUACGGGUCUGGCUAAAUAUUUAUAAAAUCUUGAUUUUUUUUCCUAAGGACAGAAGUCAAAUAGAAUAUAUACACUGAUUACAACCACUUAUUCAUUCAUUCAUUUUAUAAUGAAUAUAGAAUAUGACCAGCAAUGUGCUGGGCACUUGAUCUUAUUCACUUCCACAGAAACCCUGGGAGCAAAGUACUGUUAUCUUCAUUUUACAAACAAGGAGAUCAAUGCUUAGAGAAGUGAAUUAUCUUGAUUGGGUGCUGUAAGAAAUCAAAAUAG